rnacentral:lncRNA from 1 species
GCAAGCGUGAGGUCCCAUAUUCCUGGCACCGAAAAAGGAAAAGGAGAGAGAGAGCAAACAGGAGAAUGAGGGUGCUUUGUUUUGGAACUUUCCAGUUCUGUGGGGGAAAAUUAGCAUGAGGCUGGUUGCCUGACCUGCAGCACCGCUUUAUGCGCAUGAGUAAUUAUUAUUUUUGCUAUUAUUUCUCUUUUGUCUCCCUGGACGACUAAAAAGGCGCUGCGUAAGCAGUAAACCCCGGGAUAAGGUCUAUAACGUGGUCCAAAGAACAGAUUUUCAGUCCCGGGGGUUGAAGGUAAACUCCGGAAAGCAGAGCCACAUUGAGCUGUUGCCACAGCAUGCGAGAACCGAAGGACCUCCGUGGGUCACCUCGGGACUGGAGGCCAAGGAAACGCAGCGUUGGAUGCUGGGGCGGGGCAUCAAGGCCAGACUUGGUUCCUUAAACUUUGACUUGAGUCUAAGUGCUGGCGAAGGAGCACUCGAUCCCAAAAUACCGGGGCUUGGAGUUGUGCAGAUGGCGCUCCGCUGGGGCAUCGUGUCCGUCGGCCUCAUCUCCAGCGACUUCACCACUGUGCCGGGCCCGCUGCCCCGCUCCGACCACCAGGUCUGCUCCCCUCCGGGUCCUGGGGGAACGGGCUCCUGGGUCCGGGUAGCGAGGAUCCUACACCACGGCUGUUUCCCCGCUCCCUCCUUUUCUUCUCCACCUCAGUCCUGUAGCCCUAGCCCUGGAGGGUCGGAGGGUCUUAUCCUCCGGCCGGCCGCACCUGCUCCAGCCCCGUGAGUCUGAUCCCGGCGUCCUCCGGGUGGUGGCGGUAGCGGCCCGCGAGCUGAGCCGGGCGCAGGGGUUUGCGCGGAAACACGGCGUCCCCAAGGCGUACGGCUCCCCUGAGGAGCUGGCCAAGGGCCCGAAUGUGGGUGAGUGGCGAGGGUGGCCGGCGCGUCGGCUCCGGGCUGCCCCGUAGGAAACGUGAGGCUCCCCGGGCUAGGGGCCCGCCCGAGGGGCACGAACGGAUUUGAUCUGUCGCGAUAUUCAAUCGAGUCAACCUUCCGCAGUAAGAACCAAGCUUAAAUUUCUAAAGAAGCCAAGGAAUCUGUCAAGGGUUUAAUUUUAGUGUACAUGCCGCUCAAGCGGGUACUCUGGUAAGGGUUUAAUUAACCCCUGCAAGCCAGGCGCGAUGGUUCACGCUGGGAAUACCAGGUAUUCCGGAGGCUGAGGCAGGAGAGUGGCUCGAGCCCAGGAGUUCAAGACCACCCUGGGUGUUGUGUCCAGCGGGGAGAGGUAGGGGGGGUAGGGGUCCCCCAAUGACCCUCCACCUCUCUUCGUGUCCUUCGUGUCCUUCGUGCUAUUACUCCAGGGAGGAAUCCAGAAGUGGGGCUCUUAGCGGAAAAUGGGAGAAUCGAGACUGAUGUAGUGCAAAGUGAGUCUAUUUUAGAAGUGUGGCAAAUGGCAAGGAAACAGGAGUAACGCUAUCUUUUUUUUUUUUUUUUUUUUGCUACCGGGGAUUACGUACUCGAGUCCUUGUGCUUGCGAGGCAGGCGGUAGAACCACUGAACUAAAUCCUCGGCCCAAGUAACACUAUCUUAACAGAGUGGUGCUGCAAGAAAGAAGUUUGAGGUGUACUUCAUACUUAGAGUAUCAGGGAUCGAACACGGGACCUUGUGCUUGCAAGGCAGGCAUGGCGCCACUGAGCUAAGUCAUCUUCUACCUUAGAAGUGGCCUAUAUUGGCACUCAGCACCCUCAGCACAAGGCUUCGGUGCUGAUGUCUCUGGCAGUAGGCAAGGCUGUCCUGUGUGAGAAGCCCAUGGGUAUGAACGCUCCAGAAGUUCGCAAGAUGGUCUCAGAGGCCCAAACCCAAGGUCUCUUCCUUAUGGAGGUGAGGGCCUCAACCAACAUUCACUGUAGCACUGCUUGCCAUUACUAAACAUGGCCACCAGCAGACGUUUUUGGAGAACCAAGGCAUCUUCCACAGUCGAGAUGGCCACAGGAAUGGAGCAGGGUCAGUUGGGGGUAUAGUUGAAUGUACUGGCCACACCCAUUGAGAGCACAAACCAAAGUUCAGUGCUUGCCACUCUAACAGGCCAUGACUCAAAGACAAGUUGUUGAGGCAAAGAGAAAGAGUUGUUUGGAAAGCUAGCAAACUAAAGAAGAUGGAAGCUGACAUCAACCAAGACCAUCUUGUUUAGAGGUUGCAGGGAAAAGGCUUAUCUAGGGAGUUUUGUGGAAGUAGAUCCCAGUAGGAGGGCACCAAGGUAUUUCCAAAUUCCAGAGUAGUUACAGAUUAUGGGGUCUGCUGUUUUGUGUAGGUAACUGGAUGCUCUGGGUUCUGUAAAUCUAAAGAAAGUUACUGACCCAUAAGCACAGCAUUUAGGGAGGCUGAGAUGGGGGAUCAAGUCCUGCCCAGGCAACACAACAAGACUCUGUCUUAAAUUUGUAAGAAGAGUAGGGUUGGGUGUAACUCCAUUGGAGAGAGCCCCUGGUCAAUCCCUACCACAAGGAAGAACAGAGAAAGGAAAGGAGAGAGGGAGGAAGAAAGAAAGGGAGGGAAAAAGAAAGGGAGAAAGGAGGAAAGAAAAAAGAAAUUGAGUAGGAAGUCUCACGGCUCGUCUUUUUAGUUCCUUUUCUGAGGACUAGCUAAUUCUCCAGUGUACCUGGAUAUCAAAGGUAUCCUUUCCAUGGGGAAGAGGGGAAGAUAGCAAAAGGCAACUUUUCUCUGGAAGACCAGGGAAGAUAAAGAAAAGCAAUUUUUCCCGAGGACGGAGGACGGAGGAGUCACAUUCCCUGGAGAAGUUUUUAACCCAUUGUGUAGAGUGUGUCACCACAGCAAAGCUAAAACUAAUAGUGUAUCUUCCAGCUGUGUGACUCCUAAAAUCAGUGAUGGUUUGUUUGUUUUUUGAGACAAAAUCUCACUAUACGGUUUAGGCUGGUCUUGAACUCAUAGUGAUCCACCUGCCUCAGUGCCAUGCCCAGUAAAAUUAGUGAUUGGGGGGUGGGUGUUUUUUGGGGAGGUUUUUUGGUACCAGGUACUGAACUCGGGACCUUGCCCUUUCGAGGCAGGCAGCAGAACCACUGAGCUAAAUUCCCAGCCGAUUUUUUUUUUUUUUUUAAACCCAGGGACUUAGCUCAGUGGUUCCGCCACCUGCCUCAAAAGUGCAAGGUCCUGAGUUCUAUCUCUGGUACCAAAAAAAAUAAAAAAUAAAAGAGCCGUCCUUGUAACACGAUCACUGUGGAAUCCAUUGCAUUAAGCCCUCAGCAAACAUGGCAGGUCUGGCUUGGUUGUGUGGAUCCUUUUUCAGCUGUUGAGAAUGGGCUUAGUUCUGGUCCCUUUCCAGGGAUCAAGAUCAGAAGGAUUAAGGAAUCUCCUUCCAUCCUCAACAUCAAGCAGUCUUUGCUUUGCCUAACCAAAGAGUCCAAGAAAUUCCAGUACUUAGAUUAUGAUCCAGUGUCAGUGGACAGUGCCAGUAGUUAAAAUGGCCACCAAAUGGCACCUGUUAGCUAUUUCCAUGCUGAGAAGUAUUAUGGCCCUAAACACCUUGCUGUAGAUUCUGCCAGUAGUAGCAAUGGCUGCCAUGUACUUCCCCAGUGGCCUGUCUAGGUGUUGCAAGCCCAAGACACAGCUAGCCAAGUUUCAUGUAUCCAAGAGGUAUUUGGCCCAGAUUUUUUUUUUUUGGAGGGUACCAGGGGACCUUGCACUUGCUAAGCAGGCAGCAGAAGCACUGAGCUAAAUCCCUGGCCCAGAUGGCCCAGAUUUAAUGUGGCUACUGUAUAUGCCUCCUCACUGUCCCUUGCUGGUGUCAACAUUGUGCAAGUUUAUUACUUCAUCAUUUUUAUUGGUGCUUUCUAAUCCUGUAAUAGAAAGAGAGGACUUUAAACUAGGGAGAGUCACCUGGCAGGGAUUUAGGAAUGGUUCAUAAACGGCGCAGACAUAACUUGCCUAGUAAAUGAGCCCAAUAGCUGGGAGCUGCUGUUAGGCCAUGGGGAGCAUAGAAAGGUACUGAGCAGGGGUUAGACAGUCAGCUCUCAGGGAAGGAAAGAUUUCUGUGGACCAUCUGAAGGGUGGACAGCAGGGAAGAGGCUGAGUGUAUUAAUGUUCUGAGCCAAGCACAACGAAGUGCCAAGGACUAAGUGAUUUAAAUAACAUCAAUGUAGCCAGAUGUAGAGGUGCAUAUCUGUAAUUCCAGCACUGGGGAGGCUGAGGCAGGAGGAUUGCUUUGAGUUCGAGGCCAGCCUGGGCUACAUGCGAAAAUAAAUAAAAGGAAUGUACUGGUGUCAGAUGCCUGUGAUCCCAGCACUCGGGAGGCUGAGUCAGGAGGAUUGCCGUAUGGUCAAGUCCAGCCUGAGUUAUGGAAAUCCUGUCUCAAAUUCAAAAAUAAAACCAAACCAAACCAACAAAACUACACCUAUGAAAGUGUAAGAAGCACAACUCAAACUGGCCUGGACAGAGGGUGAGACACCCCCACUCCCACCCCCGCCAACUCUGACCUCUGGUUUCCAGCCAGAAAGUUUUCUUUGUCCCUGUUGCCUUCCAUGGUGCUGGUUUCAUAGUUGAAGACACUGUUAAGGGCAGCUGUGACAUGGAGCCAAACAGCCCAAGUGACCUCAGGCAGGGAACAGAGUGGGUAGCAGUGGACCAGAAGCCAGGUCCUAAGUCAAGAGCAACCAGCGACACCUACGCCUUGGUUCUCCGUGUCUUCAAUGACAGAUUUCUAAGAAGAUUUGUGAGCUUGGAAUAGCACAGAGGCAAAGUUUAUUGCAAAAUGGUGGAUUUGCAGAGAGAGAGAAAAGGCCUGAAGAUGGCCAAGCCCAAGGUAGCAGCUGCCCCAACUAAGGCUCAGGCUCCAUUUCUUUGAUUAACCGGGUCCUCUGGGGAACAUCCUUUCCCUCCUCUGAGGUCAUUGUUCCAUGUUGUCAUUGUCAAACAUGAUUUUUCUGCCUCAGCGCCCCCAGUGCUGGGAUUUAUAGGUGUGCGCCACCACACCUGGCUUCAAACCUCUUUUUGUUAAUUUUUUUUUUUUGAGGGGAGUUGAGAUAAGGUCUCACUAUUGUGGCUCAGGCUGGUCUUGAACUCAUAGCAAUCCUCCUGCCUCAGCCUCCCAAGUGCUGAGAUUACAAGAAUAAGCCACAAUGCCUGGGGCUUCAAGCCUCUUUUAUAGGGGUACUAAAGCCUUUCCUGUGGGUCAAGCCUUGAUGACCUACUCACCUCCUAAAAGGACAUGAAUUUGGGGAGUAAUACACGGUCAGGCCAUAGCAAAUGGCAUAGGAGUCAGCCUAAGCACACUGGCUUCUCACUAGAUGUUAGCUGCUGGCCAUUCACUUGGAGGCCCUGCCUUGCCUGUAUUAGCCUCCCCAGCCCCAGACCCUUAUCUGUCUCGCCAGGGAGGGAGGGGAGGGGCUUUGUCCUCACCACCCUCUAGCCAAGGUUAUGAGUGCAGCUCUUUCGGCAAGGUCAGAGCUUGAGCUCUGCCCUUCCCAAUUUAAGGCCAAUGAAGGAGGCCACAGGAGGCUUGGCCCACUGAUAAGGUCAGUGCCUCACUCUAAGCAAGACUUGCUUUCAUUUCUUUUGGAGCAGCAAGUAUAGCCCCUGUAUGACCCACUCCUUGUGAGUGGCCGGGACCUACUGACCUUUUUUUUUCAGUAUGGGGGAUUGAAUUCAGGGCCUUUGCAGUGAACUACAUCCUUGCCCUUUUUAAAAUUUUUUUGUUGUUGUUAAAUUCUUUUAUUGGUACAUUUUAGGUAUACAACACAAUUACAUUUCUUUUUUUUUUUUUUUUUUGUACUGGGGAUCGAACUUGGUUCCUUGCGCUUGCGCAGCAGGCGGUGAAACCACUGAGCUAAAUCCCCGGCCCUACAAUUACAGUUCUCAUUGGGAAUUGUACCUUUACAUAAUGCAUCUUGGUUCUUAUUUUUUCCCCAUUCCUAGCCCUCCCUUCACGCCCUCCACCCUUCCCUAUUUACAAAGAAUUUAUUUCCAUUUUUUCCAUUUCUCAUCAUUUUUCCUUUCCAUCUUUCCUUCCCCCUGCCCCUCCCACUACCCCUACCCCUUUGGACCUUUUCUUCCUAUUUUGCAUUAUCAAUUAUUCAUUCUAGUCAUUGGUACGUUUUAGGUAUACAAUAUAAUGACAUUCAUCGAUUGAAAUUUGCACCUUUACAUAGUCUCUCUUGGUUCUUAUUUUUCACCCUUGCCCAGCCCUCCCUUCAACCCCUCCAUUCCUCCCUAUUUACAAGAUUUUGUUCCUAGUUUUCCAUUUUCUCAUAUUAAUCCCAUUCCCUUCUAUCCUUUCCCCUAGCCCUCCCACUUUCUUCCCCUUUGUCCCUUUUCUUCCUAUUUCACAUUACCUAUUAUACAUUUCAGUCCUUAUUUACACUUUCAGUUUCUCACACCAGAGAAACUAUUUGGUAUUUAUACAUGUGUGUCCUAUGUAUUUCACUUAAGAGUAUGGCCUCAAUGUGCAUCCACUUAGCUAUAAAUGUCUCUAAUUUCUCAUUUUUUAUGGCUUAGUAGUACUCCAUUUUA